rnacentral:rRNA from 1 species
CGCGGCCUAUCAGCUUGUUGGUGAGGUAACGGCUCACCAAGGCAUCGACGGGUAGCUGGUCUGAGAGGACGAUCAGCCACACUGGGGCUGAGACACGGCCCAGACUCCUACGGGAGGCAGCAGUAGGGAAUCUUGCGCAAUGGGCGAAAGCCUGACGCAGCAACGCCGCGUGGGGGAUGAAUGCCUUCGGGUUGUAAACCCCUUUCAGCAGGGACGAAAAUGACGGUACCUGCAGAAGAAGCUCCGGCCAACUACGUGCCAGCAGCCGCGGUAAUACGUAGGGAGCGAGCGUUGUCCGGAAUUAUUGGGCGUAAAGAGCUCGUAGGCGGUUCAGUAAGUCGGGUGUGAAAACUCAAGGCUCAACCUUGAGACGCCACUCGAUACUGCUGUGACUUGAGUCCGGUAGAGGAGUGUGGAAUUCCUGGUGUAGCGGUGAAAUGCGCAGAUAUCAGGAGGAACACCAGCGGCGAAGGCGGCACUCUGGGCCGGUACUGACGCUGAGGAGCGAAAGCAUGGGGAGCAAACAGGAUUAGAUACCCUGGUAGUCCAUGCCGUAAACGUUGGGCACUAGGUAUGGGAUCAUAUCAACGGAUUCCGUGCCGUAGCUAACGCAUUAAGUGCCCCGCCUGGGGAGUACGG